GCGCCCGUAGCUCAGCUGGAUAGAGUGCGAGACUCCGAAUCUCGAGGCCAGGCGUUCGAAUCGCCUCGGGCGCA
rnacentral:tRNA from 1 species